rnacentral:rRNA from 1 species
AUGGAGGGACAGCCGCCGCCGCCCCCUCCCCUUCCAAACUCGCGCUCGCCGGCCAUCCUCUCCAUCUGCCGCCGCCACCGACCAGCCGUACCCGCGCUACCAUCCCCUCCUCGUUCCUAUCCGAGAAGCAGCCCAAGGGCCGCCGCCUACCGCUCUGCACGAACGCGGAUGCGGUGGCCGACGCGGGAAGCGCCGCUAAGCGCCACCACCACCCGUCCCUUCAUCCCCCGCCACCUCUCUGCCUCAUCCCUUCCCGUCACACACCCUCCCUUCCCCUGCGAUAUUGCGCUGCUACUUCACUGGGUACAAGUUCCAUGGCGGUCCGAGAUCCAUGGCCUCCAAUUCGGCAUCGUAGCUGCCAGCCUCGAUGUUGAGACAGUGCCAAGGAAGUUCAUGCGGGGAAGUGGCUCAUCGAUGCGCGUCUCGUGGCCCCGCUGGAUCCGAUGCUCAACACCUCCAUCUCGUGUGUCACCAAGUCGCCGCCGGGGACGCUGCGCUGGUCGGUCGGAGGCCGAGCUCGCCUCGUCCUAUAAGUUACCCUCUGGCAUCAUCAAGCCAAGGGAUGCGGGAUGCAACAGUCCAACCAACUGUGGUCGACCUAGUUCUUGA